CCGGCGCUGAGGCGGCGCUCGGAGGGCAGUCGCGGUGUCCGCGCCGGUACCGGCGCUUCUGUUGUACUGGCGAAGCUCGGUCUCGUCGUUCUUACCUGUGCACUAGACCAGCCAGUCAGCUGGAAUUGCGUGACUGUGAUCGGCGCUGCUUUCGUAGUAAAGGGGAGCCCGCAGACGCGGCGAAGGUCACGGUCCCUUCUCCGGCCGUUCCCCGGGGGCCGGCGUGAGGAGGUGGCUGCCUGCGCUGUGGAAGCCUCUCGGUCCCGGUGGCGGGACAGCGGAGCGCAGGCGAAAGUCACUCACAAGACUUUGGUCUAGGAUGACACUUCAUUCCUACAAACCUGACAAGUUUAACAAGUGAUGGCAGCAUCCCCCUAGUUGAGCUCACAGCAUGCUCAGGGGCUGCCUCCUCUGGAGUGACCUGCAUUGCCUCCUCAGUGGCCCAAGUGCAGGGCAUACCUGUGAGCCAGCAGCAAAGCAGACACCAAGGCAGCCUGUGGUGAGAUCCAGGUCUUGUCUUCUGCUGCAAUAUCUCAGUCUUGAAUGAAUGCCAUCCUACCAGCCUCUGUUUGGGCAAUAUGGAAAACAGUGGCCCUGCAGAUUCUUUUAAGCUCUUCAGUGCUGCUAGUGUGGGGGCGAGUGCCAGCCUCCCCGUGGGGCAGAGAGAUGUGACGGCUGCUCCAAGAGCUCCUGCUGUGGAUCUCACUCCCUGAAGCUGGUCCCCUGGGAUGGUGUUUGAACUGCUUUUCUGCCUGCACAGUCCAUGCAGGUCCUCCACAAACCUUGGGCAGCCCAGUGCCUCCUUCCACUCAGUCCAGGCUGGCGUGCACAGCCCCCACAGGUGCAGAUGCUGCUAUGUGAGAGGAGAGAUCCUCCACACUCUCUGGCAUUCCUCAGUCUGGCUUGUGUUAAUUCGACGUUUUGGUGCAGAAGAUGGCCAGUAUUAAAACCCAGACUGCUGCUACUGGGUGUGAAGUGCAGAGAAAUCAGCAUGCUGCUCCUGCCUGAGCUGCGCCCAGGCAGUAAUCGAGAUCACCACCCCGAGAUAAAUCUCUUCCUGCCAUCGGACAGAAGAGAGAAGCAGUACUGUGGGCUUUGCCUCCAGGUUUAUUAUCACGGGGAAACACAUGCAGAUGAAUGGCUCACCCGAUAGCAAUCAGUCGUGCUGGAGCGCUGCCGGCUGCGAUGCAGACACGCGGUGUCUGUGAUCCGCAGGCAGGAGCGAGUUCAGCUCACUCGUGCCUUUGCAGUCGUGUGCAGAGGCUCUCGCUGAGUGCAGCGCCUCUGAACUGGCCUCUGUGCCCAGGCCAUGCUCCUUCCCGCUUGGAUUUUUCAGUCUAACAGCACUGUUGAUCUGGCCUUUUUGUUUGCUCAAUGUCAGCAUUCCUCGGGGAAUGCUGCAGAGCACUAGCAGCUACACAGCAGCCUGAAGGUGGGCUCCCAUAUUAUUUCUUCAUUAACAUUUGUUGUUCAUAAAUAUAUAUUCACUCCUAUUUAUCACAAGAACACCGAUUACAAACCAUA